rnacentral:rRNA from 1 species
UCUGGUGACGAUGGCGAAGAGGUCACACCCGUUCCCAUCCCGAACACGGAAGUUAAGCUCUUCAGCGCCGAUGGUAGUAAGGGGUCUCCCCUUGCAAGAGCAGGACGUUGCCAGGC